AUUGAACGCUGGCGGCAGGCCUAACACAUGCAAGUCGAACGAGUGGCGGACGGGUGAGUAAUGUCUGGGAAACUGCCUGAUGGAGGGGGAUAACUACUGGAAACGGUAGCUAAUACCGCAUACCAUCAGAUGUGCCCAGAUGGGAUUAGCUAGUAGGUGGGGUAACGGCUCACCUAGGCGACGAUCCCUAGCUGGUCUGAGAGGAUGACCAGCCAAACUGGAACUGAGAAACGGUCCAGACUCCUACGGGAGGCAGCAGUGGGGAAUAUUGCACAAUGGGGGCAAGCCUGAUGCAGCCAAGCCGCGUGGAUGAAGAAGGGCUUCGGGUUGUAAAAGACUUUCAGCGGGGAGGCGUUACCCGCAGAAGAAGCACCGGCUAACUCCGUGCCAGCAGCCGCGGUAAUUC
rnacentral:rRNA from 1 species